rnacentral:rRNA from 1 species
GAUGAACGCUGGCGGCGUGCCUAAUACAUGCAAGUCGAACGAGGUGCUUUUGUAGCAAUACGAGAGUAUCCUAGUGGCGAACGGGUGAGUAACGCGUUGGUGACCUACCCCAAAGUGUGGGAUAACAGUCCGAAAGGAUUGCUAAUACCGCAUGUGGUUAUUGGAUUUAGAACUGAUGACUAAAGGAGCAAUUCGCUUUGGGAGGGACCUGCGUCCCAUCAGCUAGUUGGUGAGGUAAUGGCUCACCAAGGCGACGACGGGUAGGGGACCUGAGAGGGUGACCCCCCACAAUGGAACUGAAACACGGUCCAUACACCUACGGGUGGCAGCAGUAGGGAAUAUUGCUCAAUGGGCGAAAGCCUGAAGCAGCAACGCCGCGUGUGUGAUGAAGGCCUUCGGGUCGUAAAGCACUUUUCUGGGAGAUGAGAAAGGACAGUAUCCCAGGAAUAAGUCUCGGCUAACUACGUGCCAGCCGCCGCGGUAACAC